UCAAACCCGAUGAGGGAUCGAUGGAGGGUACAGUGAGUUCGAUUCCAU
rnacentral:tRNA from 17 species